rnacentral:rRNA from 1 species
GACGAACGCUGGCGGCGUGCUUAACACAUGCAAGUCGAACGCAGUGGCGAUCGGGUGAGUAACGCGUAAUCAACCUUCCCUUCAGUGGUGGACAACGGUUGGAAACGACUGCUAAUACCGCAUACUGUGGGAGUGGAUUGCGUUUGAUUGGUAGUUGGAUGGGUAACGGCCUACCAAGGGGAGGAUCAGUAGCCGGUCUGGGAGGGUGAACGGCCACAUGGGGACUGAGACACGGCCCAGACUCCUACGGGAGGCAGCAGUGGGGAAUCUUCCGCAAUGGACGAAAGUCUGACGGAGCAACGCCGCGUGAGUGAUGACGGCCUUCGGGUUGUAAAGCUCUGUUAAUCGGGACGCGGUACCGGAAUAGAAAGCCACGGCUAACUACGUGCCAGCCGCCGCGGUAAUAC